AUUGAACGCUGGCGGCAUGCCUUACACAUGCAAGUCGAACGGCAGCAUGGAGAGCUUGCUCUCUGAUGGCGAGUGGCGAACGGGUGAGUAAUGCAUCGGAACGUACCGUGUAAUGGGGGAUAACGUAGCGAAAGUUACGCUAAUACCGCAUACGACCUGAGGGUGAAAGCAGGGGAUCGCAAGACCUUGCGUUAUACGAGCGGCCGAUGUCAGAGUAGCUAGUUGGUGAGGUAAAGGCUCACCAAGGCGACGAUCUGUUGCGGGUCUGAGAGGAUGAUCCGCCACACUGGGACUGAGACACGGCCCAGACUCCUACGGGAGGCAGCAGUGGGGAAUUUUGGACAAUGGGGGCAACCCUGAUCCAGCCAUGCCGCGUGAGUGAAGAAGGCCUUCGGGUUGUAAAGCUCUUUCGGCCGGGAAGAAAUCGCACAGGCUAAUACUCUGUGUGGAUGACGGUACCGGCAUAAGAAGCACCGGCUAACUACGUGCCAGCAGCCGCAGUAA
rnacentral:rRNA from 1 species